rnacentral:lncRNA from 1 species
AACCUUUAAAUUCUAGAUUGUAGCAAUAAUGGAAGAGAUAGAAGACAUUUAUGUACAAAUACUAUUCCUUUUCCCAGCACCAAUAUACUUCUUUCUAUCACAGCUUCAGUUUAAAAGCAUUCAAGGAGUUUCUGAAGCCUACAGCUUGUGAAGAAGAGGAUCUAUGGGGAAUUGGACACGGAAACAGGAAAACCGGGAACAGAAGACCUGAGGCAGGGACCAAAGUUAGCCUGCAGAAUCGAAGAGCAAGAGAAGCUGUAAACCCAAUGAGUCUCGAGUGCAUGAGCAUUGGAAUCCCAGACCUGGAGUUGUACAAACCAAAUGUGGAAUCAAAGCUGAACACCUGCCAGCCAAGUCAGAAGUCUGGAGAGAGGCUGCCUUGGAACCAGUAAGGGCUUCCUGCUCCUUCCUCCUCCUACGUGGCCCUUGUUUUAUGUACCCCAAUAUUCUGAAUACAGGUCACAGAUUUAUUCUCCAAGGGCAAGUGUGUGUCUUUAGAUUUUCUGCCUUCUUAGGAAUAGGCCAGACCUAGUUGUAUUAAUGAUGUAUUAAUACUUUUUUGUUAUGAAGAACUUUGAAAUAUAGAACCAUAGCUAUAGGUUCUAGGAUAAAAGUAUAACCAUCCCCCUACUUUGGGACAACACUAUUGAUGGUGUUAUUGGGGUGACCACUUCUCACGAAGGUACACACUCCCGCUUACCCCACUACUCAUCAGAAUCUCAUUCCUUUUCCUUCCACUCAAGAAAUAUUAGAACAGGGCAGCCCGGGUGGCUCAGUGGUUUAGCGCCGCCUUCAGCCCAGGGCCUGAUCCUGGAGAUUCGGGAUCGAGUCCCGGGUCGGGCUCCCUGCAUGGAGCCUGCUUCUCCCUCUGCCUAUGUCUCUGCCUCUCUCUCUCUCUCUCUCUCUCUCUCUCUCUGUGUGUGUGUGUGUGUGUGUGUGUCUCAUGUUCAAAUAAAUACUUUUAAAAAAUAUUGGGACA